GCAAGUCGAGCGCGGGAAGCUGACUGAAUCCUUCGGGAGGACGUGAGUGGAACGAGCGGCGGACGGGUGAGUAACACGUGGGCAACCUGCCUGUAAGACUGGGAUAACUCCGGGAAACCGGGGCUAAUACCGGAUAGUACUUUGGUUCAUAGGAACCGAAGUGGAAAGGUGGCGCAAGCUACCACUUACAGAUGGGCCCGCGGUGCAUUAGCUAGUUGGUGAGGUAACGGCUCACCAAGGCAACGAUGCAUAGCCGACCUGAGAGGGUGAUCGGCCACACUGGGACUGAGACACGGCCCAGACUCCUACGGGAGGCAGCAGUAGGGAAUCUUCCGCAAUGGACGAAAGUCUGACGGAGCAACGCCGCGUGAACGAAGAAGGUUUUCGGAUCGUAAAGUUCUGUUGUUAGGGAAGAACAAGUACCGUUCGAAUAGGGCGGUACCUUGACGGUACCUAUCGAGGAAGCCCCGGCUAACUACGUGCCAGCAGCCGCGGUAAUACGUAGGGGGCAAGCGUUGUCCGGAAUUAUUGGGCGUAAAGCGCGCGUAGGCGGUUUCUUAAGUCUGAUGUGAAAUCUUGCGGCUCAACCGCAAGCGGUCAUUGGAAACUGGGGAACUUGAGUACAGAAGAGGAGAGCGGAAUUCCACGUGUAGCGGUGAAAUGCGUAGAGAUGUGGAGGAACACCAGUGGCGAAGGCGGCUCUCUGGUCUGUAACUGACGCUGAGGUGCGAAAGCGUGGGGAGCGAACAGGAUUAGAUACCCUGGU
rnacentral:rRNA from 1 species